GUGAAUCAUCGAAUUUUUGAACGCAAAUUGCGCUUCCUGGUAUCCCGGGAAGUAUGCCUGUUUGAGGGUCAGUAUUAAUAAAAAUCGGUGUGUUGCUUCUUUGUGACGCUCCGGAGUUUGGGUCAUCUUAAUAUCCUUUAGGUUUUAAGAGGCUUAAAAUUGACUUUUUUUGCGCAUUUUAGAUGUACAUAAAUUCUUUUUUUUUUUCGUCUUUUUUAUUCCUCAAAACCUUAUUGAUUCC
rnacentral:misc_RNA from 1 species